rnacentral:rRNA from 1 species
UACGAAGGGGGCUAGCGUUGUUCGGAAUUACUGGGCGUAAAGCGCACGUAGGCGGAUCGAUCAGUCAGGGGUGAAAUCCCAGAGCUCAACUCUGGAACUGCCUUUGAUACUGUCGAUCUAGAGUAUGGAAGAGGUGAGUGGAAUUCCGAGUGUAGAGGUGAAAUUCGUAGAUAUUCGGAGGAACACCAGUGGCGAAGGCGGCUCACUGGUCCAUUACUGACGCUGAGGUGGCGAAAGCGUGGGGAGCAAACAGG